AGAGUUUGAUCCUGGCUCAGAUUGAACGCUGGCGGCAUGCUUUACACAUGCAAGUCGAGCGGCAGCGCGGGGGCAACUCUGGCGGCGAGCGGCGAACGGGUGAGUAAUGCAUCGGAACGUGUCCCGGAGUGGGGGAUAACGCCGCGAAAGCGGCGCUAAUACCGCAUAUGCUCUGAGGAGGAAAGUGGGGGCUUCGCAAGGACCUCAUGCUCUGGGAGCGGCCGAUGUCCGAUUAGCUUGUUGGUGGGGUAAUGGCUUACCAAGGCGACGAUCGGUAGCUGGUCUGAGAGGAUGAUCAGCCACACUGGGACUGAGACACGGCCCAGACUCCUACGGGAGGCAGCAGUGGGGAAUUUUGGACAAUGGGGGCAACCCUGAUCCAGCCAUGCCGCGUGCGGGAAGAAGGCCUUCGGGUUGUAAGCCGCUUUUGGCCGGGAAGAAAAGGCUGAGGUUAAUACCUUCGGUUUUGACGGUACCGGCAGAUCAGACC
rnacentral:rRNA from 1 species